GAGUUUGAUCAUGGCUCAGGAUGAACGCUGGCGGCGUGCUUAACACAUGCAAGUCGAACGAUGAAGCCCAGCUUGCUGGGUGGAUUAGUGGCGAACGGGUGAGUAACACGUGAGUAACCUGCCCUUAACUCUGGGAUAAGCCUGGGAAACUGGGUCUAAUACCGGAUAGGAGCGCCUACCGCAUGGUGGGUGUUGGAAAGAUUUAUCGGUUUUGGAUGGACUCGCGGCCUAUCAGCUUGUUGGUGAGGUAAUGGCUCACCAAGGCGAAGACGGGUAGCCGGCCUGAGAGGGUGACCGGCCACACUGGGACUGAGACACGGCCCAGACUCGUACGGGAGGCAGCAGUGGGGAAUAUUGCACAAUGGGCGCAAGCGUGAUGCAGAGAUGCCGCGUUAGGGAAGAUGGCUUUCGGGUAUAAACCUCUUUCAGUAGGGAAGAAGCGAAAGUGAC
rnacentral:rRNA from 1 species